AUUGAACGCUGGCGGCAGGCCUAACACAUGCAAGUCGAGCGGAUGAAGGGAGCUUGCUCCUGGAUUCAGCGGCGGACGGGUGAGUAAUGCCUAGGAAUCUGCCUGGUAGUGGGGGAUAACGUCCGGAAACGGGCGCUAAUACCGCAUACGUCCUGAGGGAGAAAGUGGGGGAUCUUCGGACCUCACGCUAUCAGAUGAGCCUAGGUCGGAUUAGCUAGUUGGUGGGGUAAAGGCCUACCAAGGCGACGAUCCGUAACUGGUCUGAGAGGAUGAUCAGUCACACUGGAACUGAGACACGGUCCAGACUCCUACGGGAGGCAGCAGUGGGGAAUCUUGCACAAUGGGCGAAAGCCUGACCCAGCCACGCCGCGUGUGUGAUGAAGGUCUUCGGAUUGUAAAGCUCUUUUAGUUGGGAGGAACGGAAGUAUGUUUAACCCUGCCUGUCUUGACGUUACCUACAGAGUAAGCCCCGGCUAACUACGUG
rnacentral:rRNA from 1 species